rnacentral:rRNA from 1 species
UGAGUAACCUGCCCUUAACUCUGGGAUAAGCCUGGGAAACUGGGUCUAAUACCGGAUAUGACUCCUCAUCGCAUGGUGGGGGGUGGAAAGCUUUAUUGUGGUUUUGGAUGGACUCGCGGCCUAUCAGCUUGUUGGUGAGGUAAUGGCUCACCAAGGCGACGACGGGUAGCCGGCCUGAGAGGGUGACCGGCCACACUGGGACUGAGACACGGCCCAGACUCCUACGGGGAGCAG